UAGGGAAUCUUCCGCAAUGGGCGAAAGCCUGACGGAGCAACGCCGCGUGAGUGAUGAAGGUCUUCGGAUCGUAAAACUCUGUUAUUAGGGAAGAACAAAUGUGUAAGUAACUAUGCACGUCUUGACGGUACCUAAUCAGAAAGCCACGGCUAACUACGUGCCAGCAGCCGCGGUAAUACGUAGGUGGCAAGCGUUAUCCGGAAUUAUUGGGCGUAAAGCGCGCGUAGGCGGUUUUUUAAGUCUGAUGUGAAAGCCCACGGCUCAACCGUGGAGGGUCAUUGGAAACUGGAAAACUUGAGUGCAGAAGAGGAAAGUGGAAUUCCAUGUGUAGCGGUGAAAUGCGCAGGGUUAUGGAGGAACCCCAGUGGCGAAGGCGACUUUCUGGUCUGUAACUGACGCUGAUGUGCGAAAGCGUGGGGAUCAAACAGG
rnacentral:rRNA from 1 species